rnacentral:rRNA from 1 species
UACGUAGGUGGCAAGCGUUGUCCGGAUUUACUGGGCGUAAAGAGCGCGCAGGCGGUCGUUCAAGUCGCGUGUGAAAGCCCCCGGCUCAACUGGGGAGGGUCACGCGAUACUGAUCGACUCGAAGGCAGGAGAGGGUAGUGGAAUUCCCGGUGUAGUGGUGAAAUGCGUAGAUAUCGGGAGGAACACCAGUGGCGAAGGCGGCUCACUGGUCCAUUACUGACGCUGAGGUGCGAAAGCGUGGGGAGCAAACAGG